UUUCCAUAGGCUCUUCCUUCUUCACCCCGAUCACCGGUUUCUAUUGCAAUUUUCAAAUGUUUCUCAUGAUACUCAAUGCCUUUUUGACAAUAACCCAUUGACUUGAAUGGUCUUUUGUUGGUGGUGUAGACUCUAUCUUUUCCGAGUGCGUCGUCCAUUUCUUUUUACCAUAAAUUAAGAAA